UAACGUUACCAAACUGUUGCCUCGGCGGGAUCUUCUGCCCCGGGUGCGUCGCAGCCCCGGACCAAGGCGCCCGCCGGAGGAAUCAACCAAAACUCUUAUUGUAUACCCCCUCGCGGGUUUUUUUUAUAAUCUGAGCCUUCUCGGCGCCUCUCGUAGGCGUUUCGAAAAUGAAUCAAAACUUUCAACAACGGAUCUCUUGGUUCUGGCAUCGAUGAAGAACGCAGCGAAAUGCGAUAAGUAAUGUGAAUUGCAGAAUUCAGUGAAUCAUCGAAUCUUUGAACGCACAUUGCGCCCGCCAGUAUUCUGGCGGGCAUGCCUGUCCGAGCGUCAUUUCAACCCUCGAACCCCUCCGGGGGGUCGGCGUUGGGGAUCGGCCUUCCUUCACGGGGGCCGUCUCCGAAAUACAGUGGCGGUCUCGCCGCAGCCUCUCCUGCGCAGUAGUUUGCACACUCGCAUCGGGAGCGCAGCGCGUCCACAGCCGUUAAACACCCAACUUUCUGAAAUGUUGACCUCGGAUCAGGUAGGAAUACCCGCUGAACUU
rnacentral:rRNA from 1 species